ACGGACACAUCAUGUUGAAACACCGGAUCCCCCCUACGAUCACCGAAGUUAAGCAACAUCGAGCCUGUUCAGUAUCUAGUUGGGUGAUCUCUUGGGAAUACC